rnacentral:rRNA from 1 species
UUUCUGGUCAAGUUAUAAAGAGCAUAGGGCGAAUGCCUUGGCACCAGGAGCCGAAGAAGGACGCGGUAAGCUGCGAUAAGCCUCGGGAAGCCGCAAGCAGGCAUUGAUCCGGGGAUUUCCGAAUGGGGGAACCCAGCUGGGGUAAUACCCAGUUACCCACUACUCAAUCCAUAGGUAGUGAGGAGGCAUACCGGGGGAACUGAAACAUCUAAGUACCCUGAGGAAGAGAAAGAAAACUCGAUUCCCUAAGUAGCGGCGAGCGAAAGGGGAUUAGCCCAAACCAAGAAGAUUUCUUCUUGGGGUUGCGGAUAUACUCGUUAAGAGAUGGCAGUUGUAGUCGAAGCGGUCUGGAAAGGCCCACCAUAGGAGGUAAGAGUCCUGUAGAUGAAACGACUAAAGUCUUGAGUAUACUCCAGAGUACCACGAGACACGUGAAACCUUGUGGGAAGCAGGGGGGACCACCCCCCAAGGCUAAAUACUACCUGGUGACCGAUAGCGUAUAGUACCGUGAGGGAAAGGUGAAAAGAACCCCGGGAGGGGAGUGAAAGAGAACCUGAAACCCUAUGUUUACAAGCAGUGAAAGUCCUUUAUAUGGACGAUCGCGUACUUUUUGUAGAACGGGCCAACGAGUUACGGUAUGCAGCAAGGUUAAGCUGUUAUGCAGCGGAGCCGCAGCGAAAGCGAGUCUUAAGAGGGCGAUACAGUUGCAUGCCGUAGACCCGAAACCGGGUGACCUAUCCAUGAGCAGGAUGAAGCGGAAGUAAAAUUUCGUGGAGGUCCGAACCCAUGUCUGUUGAAAAAGGCUGGGAUGACUUGUGGAUAGCGGAGAAAUUCCAAUCGAACCCGGAGAUAGCUGGUUCUCCCCGAAAUAGCUUUAGGGCUAGCCUCAAAUGAAGAGAUGCGGAGGUAGAGCACUGAAUAGCCUAGGGGCCCUCACCGGUUACCAAAGCUUAUCAAACUCCGAAUGCCGUAUUCUUAUAUUUGGGAGUCAGACUACGUGAGAUAAGUUUCGUGGUCAAAAGGGAAACAGCCCAGACCGUCAGCUAAGGUCCCAAAGUACAGGUUAAGUGGAAAAGGAUGUGGGAUUGCACAGACAACUAGGAUGUUGGCUUAGAAGCAGCCACUCAUUUAAAGAGUGCGUAAUAGCUCACUAGUCGAGUGAUCCUGCGCCAAAGAUGUCCGGGGCUCAAACCUGUCACCGAAGCUACGGCAGCGCGUCAGCGCUGGGUAGGGGAGCAUUGUAUGCGGGUAGAAGUCACACCGUAAGGAGUGGUGGACUGCAUACAAGAGAGAAUGUUGGCAUGAGUAGCGAGAGGUGGGUGAGAAUCCCACCCGUCGAAAACCUAAGGUUUCCUGAGGAAGGUUCGUCCGCUCAGGGUUAGUCGGGACCUAAGCCGAGGACGAAAGUCGUAGGCGAUGGACAACAGGUUGAAAUUCCUGUACCACCGAAGAUUGUUUGAGCAAUGGGGUGACACAGGAGGAUAGGUCAUGCGCACCGUUGGUCGUGUGCGUCUAAGCCCGUAGGGAGUUAGGAUAGGCAAAUCCGUUCUAACAAUCCUAAAAGGUGAUGGGGAGUGAAAUUUAAGUAGCGAACUGACUGAUUCCACACUGUCAAGAAAAGCCUCUAGUUAGAUCUAGGUGCCCGUACCGCAAACCGACACAGGUAGGUGAGGAGAGAAUCCUAAGACGAGCGAGAGAACUAUUGUUAAGGAACUCGGCAAAAUGACCCCGUAACUUCGGGAGAAGGGGUGCCACGGUAGGGUGUUAAAGCCCGAGGUGGCCGCAGAGAAUAGGCCCAAGCGACUGUUUAACAAAAACACAGGUCUCUGCUAAGUCGAAAGACGAUGUAUAGGGGCUGACGCCUGCCCGGUGCUGGAAGGUUAAGGGGACGUGUUAACCGCAAGGUGAAGCACUGAACUUAAGCCCCAGUAAACGGCGGCCGUAACUAUAACGGUCCUAAGGUAGCGAAAUUCCUUGUCGGGUAAGUUCCGACCCGCACGAAAGGCGUAACGAUUUGGGCACUGUCUCAACAAUAGACUCGGUGAAAUUGUAGUACCAGUGAAGAUGCUGGUUACCCGCAGCAGGACGGAAAGACCCCGUGGAGCUUUACUGUAGCCUGACACUGGAUUUUGGUAUUGCAUGUACAGGAUAGGUGGGAGACUUGGAAGCUUGGACGCCAGUCUAGGUGGAGUCAACCUUGGGAUACCACUCUUGUAAUACUGGAGUUCUAACCAUAAGCCGUGAAUCCGGCUUUGGGACACUGUCAGGUGGGCAGUUUGACUGGGGCGGUCGCCUCCCAAAAAGUAACGGAGGCGCCCAAAGGUUCCCUCAGCGCGGUUGGAAAUCGCGCGUAGAGUGUAAAGGCAGAAGGGAGCUUGAUUGCGAGACGUACAGGUCGAGCAAGGACGAAAGUCGGGCUUAGUGAUCCGGUGGUUCCGAGUGGAAGGGCCAUCGCUCAACGGAUAAAAGCUACCCCGGGGAUAACAGGCUUAUCUCCCCCAAGAGUCCACAUCGACGGGGAGGUUUGGCACCUCGAUGUCGGCUCGUCUCAUCCUGGGGCUGUAGUAGGUCCCAAGGGUUGGGCUGUUCGCCCAUUAAAGAGGCACGCGAGCUGGGUUCAGAACGUCGUGAGACAGUUCGGUCCCUAUCCGCUGUGGGCGCAGGAAAUUUGAGAGGAGCUGUCCUUAGUACGAGAGGACCGGGAUGGACGUACCUCUGGUGUAUCAGUUGUUCCGCCAGGAGCACGGCUGAGUAGCUAUGUACGGACGGGAUAAGCGCUGAAGGCAUCUAAGCGCGAAGCCCCCCUCAAGAUUAGAUUUCCCAUCCGCAAGGAGUAAGACCCCAGAUAGACUAUCUGGUUGAUAGGUCGGAGGUGUAAGGGCAGUAAUGUCUUCAGCUGACCGAUACUAAUAGGUCGAGGACUUGACCAAAU